UGCACAUGUACCCUAAAACUUAAAGUAUAAUUUAAAAAAAAAACCUGGAGGUACCUAGCAGAAUAAAUACAUAGAACUACUAAAUAAAAAAAAAAAAGAAAAAAGAAAAUGUGGCAGAUAUACACCAUGGAAUACUAUGCAGCCAUAAAAAAGGGUGAGUUCAAGUCCUUUGCAGGGACAUGAAUGACACUGGAAACCAUCAUUCUCAGCAAACUAACACAAGAACAGAAAACCAAACACCGCAUGUUCUCACUCAUAAGUGGGAGUUGAACAAUGAGAACACAUGGACACAGGGAGGGGAACAUCACACACCGGGGCCUGUUUGGGGGUGGGGGGAUAGGGGAGGGAUUGCAUUAGGAGAAAUACCUAAUAUAGAUGAUGGGUUUAUGGGUGCAGCAAACCACCAUGGCACGUGUAUACCAAUGUAACAAACCUGCAUGUUCUGCACAUGUACCCUAGAACUUAAAGUAUAAUUUAAAAAAAGAAAAAAAAAGACCAAUACAUUUGUAAACCUCAGCUAGAAUAAUCAAGAGUAAAAAAGAAAAACCACACAUUAUCAAAAUCAGUAAUAAAAAAAGGAUUAGCAUUUAUACAGAUCCUAUAGACAUUUAAAGGAUGGUCAGGGAAUAUGAUGAAAAACUUUAUGCCAAUAAAUAUGACUAAGAACUUUCAUGCAAUUGACAAAUUUCUUAAAAGGAAAAAAAGGCCAAAUGAACUUAAGAUACAGAAAAUCUAAGUAGAUCUAUAACUUUUCAAAAAUUUAAUUUGUAAUUAAAACCUGCAAGCCAAAAUAACUUUAUUGGUGAAUUUCAGCAAGCAAGAAAUAAAUCAUAUAAUCCUAAACAGAUUCUUUAUGAAAAUAAAGGAGGCAACACUUCACAGCUCACUUUAGCAGGCCCCCAUUACUCUGAUAUCAGAACCAGAUAAAGACAUAAAACUGUAAAUGAAUAUCUCUAUGGCUAUUGAUGCAAAACCCCAUUCCUAUUAGCAAACAUAUCUGGAUUCCUCAAAUGAUCAGAAUAAAGAAGAAAGCCCCCUACAGGGAUUUCCAUAUAUGCAGAAAAAGCAUUGGACAACAUUCAACACCUACUCAUGAUUAAAAAAAAAUUCUCAGCAAACAGAAUAUAAAAGGAAACUUUUUCAGCUAGAUAAAAUGUAUCUACAAAAAUCCUAAAACUUUGCCUAGUUAAUAUUGCAUUCUCUAGUUAAUGUUGCACUGGAAGUCCUAGGCAAUGCAAUGAGUCAAUAAAAAGAAAUUAAAGACAUUAUAUUGGAAAAGAAAAAAUAAAAGUCUCUAUCCACAAUAACAGGACUGUUUAUAAAGAAAAUCCCAAGCAAUCUAAUGAAAUAUUAACAAGUUACAAGAAUAAGUGAAUUUACAAUGUUACAGGAUACAAACACAUACUAGCAACAAUGAAAACAUUAAAUUUUUAAAAUACCAUUUACAAUAGCAUUAAAAAAAUAAAAUACUUAAAGGCAGGAGAAUUUCUUGAACCUGAGAGGCAGAGGUUGCAGUGAGCUGAGACUGCGACACUGCACUCCAGCCUGGGUGACAGAACAAGACUGUUUCAAAAAAUAAAAUAAAAUAAUAAAAUGCUUAGAGGUACAUUUAACAACAUAUGUAUUAUAACUGUACAUUAAAACUACAAAAUAUUGCUGAAAUUAAAGAAGACCUGCAAAAAUGGAAAAUAUAUAAUACCAUGUUCAUGGAUCUGAAGGCUCAAUUCUCCUCAAAUUGAUCUGUAGAUUCAAUGCCAUCCUUAUCAAAAUCCCCAAAAAGUGUUGUAAAAAAUAGUAAACUGUUUCUAAAAUUUAUAUGAAAAUACAAAGGCUCAACAAUAGCCAAUACAACUUUGGAAAAGAACAAAAUGGUUGGAGAACUUACACUAUUUAAUUUAAAGAUGUAAUAUACAUCUAUAGUAAUCAAGAAAGUAUGGUAUUGGCAUAAUGAUUAAUGGAAAGAUUAAUGGAAAAAAAGAGACUGUCAGAAAUAAACCCACUCAUAUAUAUAGUCAACUGAUUUUUGUAAGGCAUAGCCUUUACAAUCAAUUUGCUGGAACUACCAGUUAGGAAUUUGCAGGAAAAAAAAAGACCCUGACUUCCAUUUUCACCACACAGAAAAAUGAACUCAAAUGUAUCACAGACCUAAUAUAAAUGCUAAAAUUACAGAACUUCCAGAAGAAAAUGUAGGGGAAAAUCUUAAGAAAUUUGUAAUAAGCUAAAAUUUAAGUGAAACACCCAAGUUCCUUCAAAUAACUGGAAAGACUUCCCAAGACGGACUGGUACAAAUAAACCCAGACUGGGAAGACUACAAUAAAUACCUCACUCUUGAAUGCUCAGAUACUAAUGAACAUCCACAAGCAUCAAGACUACCCAGGAACACAUGAGCUCACCAAAGGAACUAAAUAAGGUACCAGGGGCCAAUCCCACAGGGAUAGAGUUAUGUGACCUUUCAGAUAGAGAAUUCAAAAGAGCUGUUUUAAGGAAACCCAAAUAAAUUAAAAAUAAAACAGAAAAGAAAUUCAGAAUUCUAACAAAUAAAUUUAACAAAGAAAUUGAAAUAAAAAGAAUAAAGCAGAAAUUCUGGAGUAGAAAAAUGCAGUUGACAUACUGAAGAUUGCAUCAGUCUCUUAAUAGCAGACUUGAUCAAGCAGAAGAAACAAUUAGUGAAACUGAAGACAGGCUAUUUGAAAAUACAGAGUCAGAGAAGACAAAAGAAAAAUGAAUUAAAAAAAUAAACCAUGCCUACGGCCUCUAGAAAAUAGCCCAAAAAGGGCAAAUCUAAAAGUUCUUCGCCUUGAAAGGGUGGGGGGAGUGGUCUAGAAUGUUUUUCAAAGAGAUAAUAACAGAGAACUUCCCAAACCUAUAGAAAGGUAUCAGUGUUCAAGUACAAGAAGGUUAGAGAACACCCAAGUGAAUUUAAGAAGGUUAGAGAACACCCAAGUGAAUUUAAGCCAAAGAAGACUGCCUCAUGGUAAUUAAUAAUCAAACUCCCAAAGGUCAAGGAUAAAGAAAGGGUCCUAAAAGCAGCAAGAGAAAAGAAACAAACAAGAUAUUAAUACAAUGGAACUUCAACAUGUCUGGUAACAGACUUUUCAGUGAAAACCUUACAGGCCAGGAGAGAGUGGCAUGACAUAUUUAAAGUGUUAAAGGAAAAAAAAUCUUUUGCCCUACAAGAGUAUAUCCAGCAAAAAUAUUCUAGAAACAUGAAGGAGAAAUACUUUCCCAGCCAAAAAAAGGAAGAAAGAAAAAAAGAAAAAAUGCUGAGGAGCUGCAUCAACACCAGAUCUGUCCCACAAAAAAUGUUAAUUCUUCAACCUAAAAGAAAAGGAUGUUAAUGACCAGGAAGAAAUCAUCUGAACAUACAACACUAACUGGUAAUAGUAGGUACACAGAAAAAAAAUAAAAUAUUAUAACUGUUACUAUGGUGUACAAACUACUCAUAUGUAGAAAGAUGAAAGAUAAAAUCAUCAAAAUAAUGACUACAAGAACUUUUCAAGACAGACAGUAUAAUGAUAUAAAUAGACACAACAAAAAGUUAAUGAGGAGACAAAGUUAAAGUGUAGAAUUGUUAUUAGUUUUCUUUUUGCUUGUUUGUUUAUGCAUCAGUAUUACAUUGUCAUUACUUUAAAGUAAUGGAUUAUAAGAUAUUAUUUGCAAGCCUCAUGGUAACCUAAAAUCUAAAAACAUACAACAGAUACACAAAAAAUCAAAAAGCAAGAAAUAAAAAUAUACCAACCAAGAAAAUCACCUUCCCUAAAAGGAAGACAGGAAGAAAGAAAAGGCAGAGAAGAUCACAAAAUAACCAGAAAAUAUAUAACAAAAUGGCAGGAAUAAGUCCUUACUUGUCAAUAACAAAAUUGAAUGUGAGGGGACUAAACUCCCCAAUUAAAAGACACAGAGUGUCAGAAUGGAUUUUUUUUUUUUAAAAAAAGGAUCGAACAACCUCUUGCCUACAAGAAACACGCUUCAUGUAUACAGACAUACAUAGACUCAAAAUAAAGGGAUAGAAAAAGAUUUUCCAUGCCAAUGGAAACCAAAAACAAGCAGGAGUGACUCUACUUAUAUUAGACAAAUUAGGUUUCAAGACAAAAACUAUAAAAAGAGAGAAGAUCAUUAUAUAAUAUUAAAGGGGUCAAUUCAGUAAAAAGAUGUAACAAUUGUAAAUAUAUACGCAUUCAACGCUGGAGCACCCAGACGUAUAAAGCAAACAUUGUUGGAGCUAAUGAGAGAGACCCCAAUACAUUAAAACCUCAAGACUUCAACACCCUGCUUUCAGCACUGAACAGAUCAUCCAGACAGAAAAUCAACAAAGAAACAUUGGACUUAAUCUGCACUAUAGAACAAACAGACCUAAUAGGUAUUUACAGAACACUUCAUCCAACAGCUACAGAAUACAUUUCUCUCCUCAGCAUGCGGCUCAUCCUCGAGAAUAGACCACAUGUGGCCAGGUGUGGUGGCUCACGCCGCCUGUAAUCCCAGCAGGUUGGGAGGCCAGGGCGGGUGGAUCACCUGAGGUCAGGAGUUUGAGACCAACCUGGCCAACAUGGUGAAACCCCAUCUCUAUAAAAAAAUACAAAAAUUAGCCAGGUGUGGUUGUGGGUGCCUGUAAUUCCAGCUACUCAGGAGGCUGAGGCAGGAGAAUCACUUGAACCCGGGGGAUGGAGGUUGCAGUGAGCUGAGAUAGCGCCAUAGCACUCCAGCCUGGGCAACAAGAGUAAAACUCGGUCUCAAAAAAAAAAAAAAAAAAAAGUUAGGCCACAAAACAAAUCUUAAAACAUUCCAAAAAAUUGAAAUAAUAUCAUGUAUCUUUUCUGACCACAAUAAAACUAGAAAGCAAAAACAAAAGGAAUUUUGGAAACUAUACAAACACAUGGAAAUUAAACAACAUGCUCCUGAAUGACCAGUGGUCAACGAAGAGAUUAAGAAGAAAACUUUAAAAUUUCCAGAAACAAAAAUAACGGAAACACAACAUACCAAAACCUAUGCGAUACAGGGAAAGCAGUACUGAGAGAGAAGAAUGUAGCUAAAAGUGAAGUGCCUACAUCAGAAAGGCAAAACUUUAAAUACACAACCUAAUGAUACACCUUAAAGAACUAGAAAAGCAAGAGCAAGCCAAACCCAAAGUUAAUAGAAGAAAAUAAAUAAUAAACAUCAUAGCAUAAAUAAAUGGAAUUGAAAUGAAUACAAAAGAUCAACGAAACACAAAGUUGGUUUUUAGAAGUCAAACAAAACUGACAAAAUGUUAGCCAGACUAACUUAGAUAAAAAGUGACAAGACACAAAUAAAUAAAAUUAGAGAUAAAAAGGAGAAAUUACAACUGAUACGCAGAAAUUAAAAGGAUCAUUAGAGGCUACAAUGAGCAACUAUAUGCCAAAAAACUGGAAGACCUACAAGAAAAGGAUAAAUUCCUAUACACAUACAACUUACCAAGAUUAAAACAUGAAGAAAUCCAAAACCUGUGAAUAGACCAGUAACAUGUAAUAAGAUUGAAGCUAUAAUAAAAACUCUCCAAGCAAAGAAAAGCUCAGGCCAGCAUUAGAGUCCUACUGAUAUGUGCUGUCACCCCCGGCGGCCCAGCUGUAAAAUUCCUUUCUUUGUACUCUUUAUUUCUCAGCCAGCGGACACUUAUGGAAAAUAGAACCUACAUU
rnacentral:lncRNA from 1 species